AAUCCUGUGGCACAGUCAGUUGAGCAUUGUGCUUACAACGCAAAGGUCAUGGGUUCGAACACCGGGGUAA